GAUGAAGAACGCAGCGAAAUGCGAUAAGUAAUGUGAAUUGCAGAAUUCAGUGUAUCAUCGAAUCUUUGAACGCACAUUGCGCCCGCCAGUAUUCUGGCGGGCAUGCCUGUUCGAGCGUCAUUACAACCCUCAGGCCCCCGGGCCUGGCGUUGGGGAUCGGCGGAAGCCCCCUGCGGGCACAACGCCGUCCCCCAAAUACAGUGGCGGUCCCGCCGCAGCUUCCAUUGCGUAGUAGCUAACACCUCGCAACUGGAGAGCGGCGCGGCCACGCCGUAAAACACCCAACUUCUGAAUGUUGACCUCGAAUCAGGUAGGAAUACCCGCUGAACUUAAGCAUAUCAAUAAGCGGAGGA
rnacentral:misc_RNA from 1 species